CCCACCGCCCGCUGCCUGGGUUUCCGCAGGGGCGAAAGCGUCUCGCGGAACAAAAGACUGGAUGAGUGUAGUCGAUCAGGUAAGCCUUUUGAACGUCUUGUGCUUGGAGCCGUAAGCACAGCUGGUCGCAGAUGAACACGGAGGCCUCUCCUCGACUGAGGAACAAACUUCGGUACAAUUUGCUCAAUGUUAUUUGUGCACAGAGGGGGACGAGUGACAAGUAGAAGUCUGUGAACCUAAGAAAAUGAGUCAUGCAACCACAGCUGCCAGAGAAGUCCGUGCUGUUCCAGUCCACACUACUUUUCUCUUAAGCAAUUCUGACUUGAGUGCUGACCCACUUGAAAGAAAAUGCCACUUCCUGCCGUUUGAAUAAGUUGCUUCAAUGUUUUAAUCUAUUCUUCAUUUUUGUUUUAUUACCGUUGGUAUGUGAUAAAUUACCUAAAAGCCUCGUGUGGGCUGAGAAAUUCCAGACAAGAACAUUGACUUGACUGAUAUCACCUCUGGAAGCAUCCGAUAAGGAGAUCCAAAGACCAAACUCACUGGUUCCCAUCCAUGCACACACUGCAGGGGAAAUGGCCUGCAAAUGUACUUUUUCACCUCCCAAAGUUCCCAAAGUCCAACAUGCCACACGCGCAUGGUCUCCUCUUGGAAGGAGAGCCCCCCACCCCUUCAGUUGUCCUGAUUAAAAGAACAAUUAUGCUUCUGGA